CAAUAGCGUAUAUUAAAGUUGUUGCGGUUAAAAGCUAGUUAGUAUUACUAAGUUGCUUCAGUAAUUUAUGUAUAUAUUGUUGUCUAAAGACAAUUAUGUAAUUGUCUCUUUUACUUUGAGGAAAUUAGAGUGUUUCAAGCAAGCGUUUGCUUUGAAUACGAUAGCAUGGAAUAAUAAUAUAGGACUUAAUUUCUAUUUAUUGGUUUUAAGAAUUUAAGUAAUGAUUAAUGGGAACAGUCGGGGGCAUUCGUAUUUAACUGUCAGAGGUGAAAUUCUUGGAUUUGUUAAAGACGAACAACUGCGAAAGCAUUUGCCAAGGAUGUCUUCAUUGAUCAAGAACGAAAGUUAGGGGAUCGAAGACGAUCAGAUACCAU
rnacentral:rRNA from 1 species